GUCAUGCUAUAGUCGGCCAAUGGGUGCUCAAAGAUGCCCAUCGUGAACUUCACCCUCAAAAUCCUCUUCACUGCAUCAUCAAUUCGGCUCAUUGGAACAAAAUUGUUCUUAACCAGGAAGGUUAGACCAUCAAUGAAUUCUGUAUAGUUGUAUGGAAUCAUGAUCUGCAACAUCCGAAAAAUAACACAAGUCCUUCAGCAUUUAGCAGAGUAGAUUAAUAUUAUAAGCUUGUUAAGCAAAUCAGACUGACCAUGUCAAUUCCGGCGCUGACACCAGUGACAAUUGAGUAUGUGUAAUUUGCAUGAGGAGGAGAGGUAAUAGUGUCAAUGCCUUGCCAAUCUGAGAUGACAAAUCCCUGAAUAAUAAUUCAGAACUUAAUUAAUCCUGUGCUCGAUUGGAGAUGUCGAAUGAGGAACUGGAAGCAGGAAGGAGUACUUUUUACUUUCGAAACUGAUUAGUUUACCCUAAAUCUCAGCGUGUUCUUAAGAAAACCAGUGAUCAUUUCACGAUUAGCAUGCAUCUUUAUUCCAUUCCAGCUUGAAUAGGAGAUCAUGACAGUUGAUACACCCUUGAUAAUUGCAUUAUAAUAGCCGGCCAUAUGGAUGCUAAGCAAACCAUGCCUGCUGAUCACUGUAUUAUUCCCAUUGAUGCCUUCAGUCGUUCCUCCAUCACCAACAAAGUGCUUAGCACAUGCAGCAAUGUUCUUUCUGCCAAAAAAAAAAAAAGAUUAAUCAAGAAUGCAAAUUCCGAAGGUACAGGGUAUACAAUUUCUGGGAAUUUAUUAUCCAUUCCUAGAAUAAUAUUUUAAAAAAAUAUACAAAUUUUAGAUCGAAUGGAGUAAUUUUCAUGUAUCUUCUAAUUGACACCGGGUAAAGCUAAACAACCUCCCAAUUCCAAGUUUUGAAGCUUUGAACGGUCAAUUGGACUUUCUAACCUUUUUGUGGGCAUUUGGUUAGAUAUCUUAUUUACUAGUAGAUGUUCUUUGUUACCCCUGUUUUAAAGUUCAAUCAAUCCGGUCCACAUCAGUUCUUGACAAAAAAAAAUGUAAAAGCUAACAUCCAACUGAAGGAGUGGACUAUAGCAAACAAGGUGACGGGCAAGCAAGUCGCUGCAUAAACGGGGAAGGCCGCGAACUUGAGCAAAAAAAAAAAGUGGCCGGAGCAGAAUGAGAUGAGCAUGAAAGCUGUGGAUACAAACAGCGAAGUUAAACCCAAUAGAAGCUUACUGGGCAAGCUGGUGCCAAAAUCUUUUUCUUGGUACCUAGACGUGAGAAUGGCUAGAAACAUGACUAAGGAGGUGACCGAAAAGCAAAGCGCAACAAGGGAUGAAAUGGCGAAGCAGUCAAAUGCGGGCUUGGGAAAUUAUGGAUUUAUCCCGAAAUUUUAGUCAGAUCCGAGUUUGGAAAAUUUGGGAUUAACGGAUGUUUCCGAUUUUGUCCUUGAAAUUAUGCCGGUGUGCUAUUUUUAGCCGAAAAAGGGCAAAUACGAGCAUUAUAAUGAAAUUGGCUCAUAAUUUAUAAAUUAAGAAAUAUUCUGGCUGAUUUUAAAUGUCAGGGACUAAAAAAAAUUUUUGUGAAAAUAUUGGGGAUCAAUUUGGCUAAUUUACCAUCAAGAAAAUGAUGGAAUAAGAGGAAUUUGCAAUACGUACUGGCCAGCAAGAUAAGGAACCCCUAAGCGGCCAUUGGAAGGGAUUUCCCCUUGUAAUCCCGGAAUAAUCUCAGUCAUUGCGCUCACAAUUUUGGGAUCUUCACUAUAGCUUUCAUAACACCGGCCCCAUCUGGGAUCUCUGCAGACCUAAUCACAGAUCAGAAAGGGCACUUAUUUUGAUUGUUUCAAUGUACUCUGAGCUGCAUAACAAUUAAUGGAUCACAGAAAGAGUUAAAUUACCGCAAUGCAUGGUGCAAAAGCAUAUUGAAUGCCUGUAGCUCUCACUUCAAGGGCAGUUGCAGCUCCAAUCUUCUUCACCAGUGCAGGGUCCCUGCUCAAGCGGGUAACUCAAAGAGUUUAAUUGCCACAUUCAAUUAAAGAUUCAAUAUUGAGAAGAGGGUAAAUUCCAUUUUAUCCCCUUAAACUAUGCCCAAAAUCUCACUAUAGUCCCUAAACUUUAAAAUGGGACAUUUAAAUCCUUAAACUAUAUAAUCCGUCCCACUUUACUCCAAAUUUUGACGAAAUACACAAAAUCUAACAGAAUAGUUGCCAAUUCAUUUAGGUUAUAAUUAUAAUUUAAUUUAAUCAAAUCUAAUAGGGACAUAAAUAUAAUUUAAUGAGACCCAAUAUAAAAAAAACAAAGAGUCAGAGAGAUAAAGAUAAUUUUACCUCUUUAAUUAAUAAUAAUUAAAGUUUUUUCCCUUUUUUAAUCGAAAAGCCAUGUUUUUAAACUUUACUUUUCUUUUUUUUUUCCACCUUUUUUUCUAUUUUCCUUUCAUUUCCUUUUCUAUUUUUUCCUUUCUUUCUUCACUACCUUCUUCCUCCAUUACCGCACAUCAACCACUGCUACACAUCAUCUACCUUUUCUCUUGCCAUCAUCAUCCGCCACGUUUUACUACUUCAUUCUCCUCCCGAUGAUGAAUCCAAAAAUAUGAUGUUUAUCACAGAAGAAAUCACAAAAUGUUUGCCAUACCAAUACAUCACCAUUUGUACUUAUCACAACCUGUAACUUGUUUCUUGUCUCCUUUUUGAAUAGCCGCCCCACCCAAUUUCUUAUCCCCUCUUCUCCAUUCACCUAAUUUCAUAUCACAACGUUGUAGGAGCAUUUUUUUAUGUUGUAACGGAAAUAAUGUAAAUGAUUUGUUCAAGAAAAGAAUACUGCAAACAAAUUUGAGAUUUCUUGAAAACCAAUUUUACAAAUACCAACUGAAUUUAAACCCAGAAAUCUAGAAACAUAUUUUGAGAGAAGGAGAGAAAAAGAAAAGAACGAAAGACCAUCGAGAAAAUGGGUCAAUCCUGUUUGAUUUGUUUCCCACCAGCCAAAUCACAGAAUACAAAUUUCCUCAAGAGGAAAGUUGUGAGAUAAAUAAAAUAAUAUUUUCCUCCAACCUAUUAGCUCUGAGCGUACCUGACCCGGCUUUUGAGUCUCGGCUCCGAGACAAAGCCUACCUCGAAAUCCUCGACCAACACACCUCCGACCUCCAUCGUCUUUCCACCUCCACUUCCGUAGCACGAUCCACCCCCUCUUCCUCCUCCUCCAACACCACCGCCACCACCAUCCCUUAUGGCCUCGUUAUCUCCCUCUUUUCCCACUCAAAAUUCUUUGUUGAUAUUGAUUUGGUUUCUGAUAUUUAAAAUUUUUUUUCGUGAUUAUAUUAUAAUAAUUAACAAAUGGAGGGCUGCGAGUCAAGGGUAUGAUCAGAGCUUCUGGUGGCAAACGGUGGUAGUGGGUGGCAUGGGCGGUGUGUGGCUGGGAUGAAGGGAGAGAUAGGGAGGAAGAGAAAGAAGGUGAAUGAAUAAUUUUUAAAAAUUUGGAGUGUAUCAAAAGCUUUGGAUUUCAUGAAAUUACACUUAUGUCCCUGUUGGAUUUGGUUAACUUUAGUUAUAAUAAUAACUAACAGAAUUGGCAAAUAUUCUAUUUGGUUUUGUGCAUUCUGUUAAAAAUUGGAGUAAGGCGGACAUGUUUAUAGUUUAAGGAUUUAAAUAUCUCAUUUUGAAGUUUAGGGAUUAAAAUGAGAUUUUGCUUAUAGUUUGAGGGGAUAAAGUGGAAUUUACCCUCGAAAAGAUAGAUAUCAAAUGAUGCCAAAAAGAGCCGUAUCCCUCCCCGCUAAAUCCCUCCCCGUCCUUCUCCCCAAGACAAGAACUUCAGCUGCAGCUUUUUCAUAAAACAACAAACAAAAUGGUGGACUUCAGCUACUACAAUACAAGAGUGCGUUUUGGAGUACUCUCCAAAUUAUAAGCAAAUAACUCACGUCAAAUAAUUGUAAUACGAACUACUAGCCACAUAAAAAAUGGUCGUAAUCAAAGGAGAUGUGGAUUAAUCAUCGUCAUCUAGAAACUUAAUCACAGCCAAAUGGUCGUGCAGACUUACCUAGUGGCUCCAAGACCAAUAUUAUGAGGAAAAACGGUAGCCUUGUAGACAGUGUUGUGGCCAUGAACAGCGUCAAUCCCAUAAAUCAUUGGUAUCCCAAGACGCGUAGACAAUGAACCCUUUUGGAAAUCGUUUACCAUGUCCACCCAUGUCUCCGGCGAAGCCUGCUUAGCUGGAACACUCCCUCCACCACUCAGUACACUCCCUGCAAAUAACUGACAUUUUAAUCCCAGAAAAAGAAAAACGACAACACAUAACGAGCUCUUCUAAUUAACUGCAAAAAUCAGUUUUUUCAAAGUGCAGAUUAUUGAUGCAUACCAAUGUAGUACUUUUUCAUGAUCUCUCUGGAUGCGAUACUACGAUCUAUCUGCACCAUUUGGCCAAUUUUCUCCUCUAAGGUCAUCCUGCUCAAUAAAUCCUUAAUUCUAGUAUUUAAGGGCUGUUUGGGAUCCUUAUAAGGCAAGUACUCUGCUUCUGCUUUCAUGGCUGCACAGAUGCAGAACAAUGCGAUCCCAAAAGCCAGUAAGGAACCCUUUGCCAUCUUGAGCCUCAGCAUUACCUUCAACAGACAAAAGAGAACAGAAAAUUCUAUUAGAUUCCAAGCAUCCCAUCAAUAAAUCUCACUGAUGUAAACCGUGGCUUUGGAAAACGUUUAGACAACUGAAGUACAAGGAAGCAGCAUUUUCCCAAAUUUUGCCGUUUUAAAUCUGGAGAUGAACUAUUCAAGUAUUUGGAAGAGCAAUUAUUGGACAGGAGAAUAUCUUGGACAGUGGACACACGAAACAUGAAACGUGAACAUGUAUGUCCAUGCGUUUGUUUGACGAAAUGGACUUGUUAAAAAAGCGAAGACGAGUAAAAAAGGAAAUCUUGGGAAAGUAUAAAAUUAUCAAUGUAACACUAUGAUAGUUAGGAAAAUCAAGAUAAACUAUCAAGAAUCUUGAAAAAGGAACCAAAAAGUCCCUCUAAAAAAAAUGGAACCAAAAAGUUUUAUCUGAACGUAUGAGAUGCCCAGGAAAACAGUCCAAUGCUAUUAAAGAAUCAGAGCCUACUAUCACCGAUAGCCACUGAGUGGUGGUCUAUGGCUGCCGAUUUAAGGUAGGGAUGUAACUUACAGAGGAUGCAGCCAAAAUUGCACCCCAGCACACCAACUACUACUAUGCUUUUAGUAGUACAGUGUUUCUUUGUCGCUGAGAGAGAGAGAGAGAGAGAGAGAGAGAGAGAGAGAGAGAGAGUACACAGCUGCAGAUGAAAUGGGAUGUAGAGGGAUGCCAUUUAUAGAAAAACGUUCUGUCAUUUAAUUGGCUUGGUUACCCAUUGAUGCGGAUAUGCCCUCCAUAUUGUGCUGUAAAAGUCUGAUAUUAAGUUUGAUGGAGUUUUUUGCCAAAAUAACACUAUGUUAUUGUUGCCACCUAAUUUAUAGUUUCCAAAAUGAAUUAAAAAUUUAAAAUUUUUUUUAUUAUAGAGGAACAAGAAGAUUGCAUAACUUUUAUAAUUUCCUUAUAAUUAUUUAACAUAAAUUCUGCCAUUAUUGACCUUGCUAUUAUUGGUUUCUGAAUUUCUUAAAAUGAAUCAAACCUAUUGCAUAUAUUUUUUCAAAAAAAAAAUUAAAAAAUACAAAAAUUGCAACAAAAAUUUCAAUAAAAAUUGUAAGCAAUUACAAAUACUUCAAGGUGAUCAUAUUUGUUUAUGUUACCCUUCCUACUUCUUAAAAAGACAAGAGAAUAAUUUUUAUCUGCCUUGAGAUUAUCGAUUUGAGAAGCAUAUUUUUUAGGUGUUGUUAAUAUAAAUAUUGGCUUCUUAGGAUUAUGUUUGACAAAGGAAAAAUAAUUAAACAAAAAAAUGCGAGAAGGUUUAGAAAAAAAUUGGAGAAGACAUUAUAUGGGAAAGAGAAAUGAAAUAUGCCUUUAUCUCCAUCCUAGGACAUAUGCAGCUUAAGUGGCAAAAAAAGGAUCAUAAAAAUAAUAAAAUUUAAAAUUAGGUUACUUUGAGUAUAUGUUUUGGAAGACGAGUUAUUUUGGCAAUAAACUCAAGUUUGAUGCUAGGGUACUGAAAUGCUGGUCCACGUACACUGCAGCCCCAAGUGAAGACAGUAAUGGAACUUUGACGUUUUUGUAAGGUAGGGGAUUCAAACUAGUAAUAAGUUAAUGUAAAAAUAAUUCAAAACGUAUCUCAUAUUUUAUUAAACAAUUUUUUUCUCAAUUUUAAAAUAUUAAUUUUGCAUUUUUAUCAAUAUUUAGUUUCAACCUAAAUUUUCAAUUAUCUUUUAGUCUAAAUUCAUCACGUGAUCCACAUACAGUUAUUUUUAUAUACAAAAAUGUUAGAUCCCACUUUCUUUGUAGCAAAAAAAUAUAGAUUAGCUCAGAUCUUAUUUUUUUGAAAAAAAAUAAAAAUGAUUCAAGUCAAAUCCUAUUUUUUUUGAAGCAAAAUUGAAUAUGGAUUAGGCCAUUUGUUUAAUUACAAAUGAGAUCUAAUCUUUUUGCCCCUUAAAAAAUGACUAUAUGUGAAUCAUGUGAUGAAUUCAAGAUGAAAAAUGGUCGAAAACUUAGAUUUGAAUCAAAUUUUAUCAAUUUGAUUUUAUAAGGAUGUAAAAUUAAUAUUUUUAAAGCGAAUGAUUAAAAAAAUCAUUUGACAAAAUGUGAGAGACAUUUUAAAUAAUUUUCCCAUAACUGAUUUACUUCUCUCAGUAACUGCUCUAUCUUGUACUCUCUCCUUUUUUCUUUUUUUUUGAUACAUUUAUUUAGCUGAUUUCUUUGGUCAUUUGAACAAUGACAAAGCGUAAUACUUGCGUGAUUUUUUUUUUUCUUCUUGGGAAAUUUGGUCGAACACUCAACACGAAUACAAAUCAAGCUAACAACUUCUAGAAAGUUGAGAUUUUGAUAUUCCUAAAAUCCAAACUUAAAUAAUGUACAUAGAUUGUAAUUUUUUGUCAAAAAAUAUUUAUUUAUAUCACAAACAUAUUUUUCAGCACACUUUUUAUUUUUCUAAUUACCUUUUUAUCUCACAUAUAUCACAUCAUAAAAAGUAUUACAAUAAUUAUUAUAAAUAAUAUUUUAAAUAGUUUCCUAUCCAAAAUAAUCUCUUAUCCAAGUGUUACAGUAAUUAUUUAAAAUAAUCUCUUAUCCAAACAUAUAUUUUCUGAAAUUAUGAGUCUGUUUGGAUGACAUGUUUAUUAGGUGUUUAUCUAAAAUUUUAUUAUAUUUAUUUUUUUAAAAAUACUGAUAUAUGUCCAAAACACUCUUUUUUUUUCCAAAUAUCCCCCUUUUUACCUCGCGUGCUACUCGCCAUCCACCGCUGCUACCGGCCUCCGCCGUCAUUACCAUAUUUAGCUCUUUUUUUUUUUCAUUUUAUUAGACCUUCUGGGUAUUUUUGUGUAUUACUAUAGAUGCUGUUUUUUAAAAUUUUAUUUCCUAAAAAGUUACCGAAUAGACCCUAUGUUUAAUUUUAUAUGUAAUCCUAUUGGUGGUUCCCAAUUCGCUUUAGAACAAUUUAACUUAAAAUUUUAUUUGAAUAUGUUUGACAUUGAUCAAUGUACACUCUGUGAGAGGAGUCUUAUAUGGUAUUUGUUUGGAUCAGUGUAUUUGAAUUGACUAAGUUUCAUAUGCAAGUGAGAUUGAUCUACUUUCAUGAGAAUGAUCGUGUUUCCAAAAUUUAUUGUUGAUGUAAGAACUGUGUUGGUAAACGUUCUGUAAAUAAGUUAUUGUUUUAAAGAUAUACUUUGAUAUGUGAUGGUAAUCGGAACUGAAUCCAUCAAUUUUAUUUUAACAUUUUACUACCAAAAAAUAUUAUGACUUUGUUUUCUUUACCCAGAAUAUAUAUAUAUUUUAAAAAAAAAAAAAAAGACGACAAAGAGACAGAGAGACGGGGAAAGGACUGAACUGGGAUUCUUACCAUCAGCAUCCCCUUCAAUUCGCAAACUAAUAGACAACACAUAAAACUCAAUUAGAUAAAUAUACCAGCAACAUAUAUGCACGAGAUUAAAUUGAAGAAAGCAGCAAUUUAGGAAGCUAAAAAUGUAUCCCCUUUUGUUUUCUGGGUUUUUUUUUUUGGGUGGCGGGGAGGGGGGGGUUGUUAAGUAAAAAAUUGGUAAUAGCCAAGUGAUUGUAUUCAAGCAGUCCUUCAAGUUACACGAGUUCUUGGCCAGCGACGUCCACUAGAAAAUAAUCAGAAAAACUGGAAAGCAUUCUGAAGUUUAAUCUAAACAGAAAUGCAAAUUCUUGCACGAACAUCAAAAGCACUGAACAUAAUAGAAGGGAUAGAUUUUAGAGCGAAGAAGUUUUACCAUUUGGGCUCCAUUCCUUUAUUUCAGCAAAUGCUUACAUAUCUAAUCCAUCUAGAAGCUUAUAUUGUCAACCCAAGAAGAUUAGUCCAUGGAAACUUACAGUAGCAGAAAAGAGAUGAUAAUCACACAGUCCAACGGUGGCACUUCUUCUCCGGUGAUGAUUCUUGCUUGGAGCUGGCCAAACACCCUCGCAAACAACACCACCAAACGGGUUUGCUGUUAAUGCGGAAGAGCAUUGAAGUUUGGAAGAAUAGAAGAUUAAAAAGACGAUUAGAGCAGCAAGUUCAGCCAAACGUUUUUAGUAAAAAAUAUUUGAGUGUGGUAGCUUGUUCCGUGGGCAAUUUAUAAACAGCACCAAACCAAGUACUGCUAGAUAUAAAGAAUAAGAGCCACUAUUUGCACUCCGAUCCCUGAGAUUUUCAAUAAUUAGAAAACACCACUCUAUACCUGGCUCGACAGAGUACACAUGACUGGUCCACCACGAUUUUUCUUUUCUUUUCUUUUCUUUUAUUUUUUCCCCACAGGCGAUCGGUCCCCCAUUUUGUGCCACGUAUUUGGAUAUUUCGACUUGUUUAGUGGAAAAAGUCGGCAAGUAAACCUUCACUGGUAGUUUGGGAGUUGAGGAUAGAAAAGAAAAGAAGAGAGAGGUUAAGUUAUGAGAGAAAAUAAAGCAUAAGAAAAGAAGAGAAGAGAUUUUAAUGUUAUUUAAAAAUUUAUGAAAAAAAGAAAAUAAUUUUGAACACAUUGAUCAAUAAAUAUUCCAUUCAAUAGUUUUUUAAGAAUAAAAUAGACAAUUUAAAAAAUUUUUGUAGCCUUUCCAUAUUGUUUCUUUGUUUUCUGCCUGAUUUGGGAUGGAAAUUUUUUUUAACUAUAACGGGUCUUUUCUUCCUCCCAAAUCAGUCAAAUUCUUUUACUUUUUUAUUUCACUAAAACUUUUAAACAUGAAAAAUACCUAUUUUUCUCUUCAACACUUUUCUUUUAUAUUCAAAUCUCAUCUCCCAACCUAGGCAUCAGAACUCAACCCCGAGAACUUUUUGUUUCCAAACAAAUAAAUAUAAAUAUACAGCAUAUCUCUUGAAAGUCUAACAUGGUAAAUGAUCAUAAAUAAUUGUUAUACAGCAUAAAUAAUUGUUAUUAGGUGUAUAAAAAAAGCACCAACCAACCUAAAGAGGGAAGAGGCGUGGGGAUUAGAACAAUUUGAAUUUCGACCAAUUAUAAACCAAUGUUAUAAUAGUGACCUGCCUUCUGUCCUUUGUCCAAGUAAAGAGUCAGAUAAACCGUGGCCCACUGGUCCAUCCGCACAAGCGUAUCGCCAGCUGGAACGCGACUACAAGAUUGCCUCUUCUCUUAAUUGACAAUUUAAGCGAUAGAUUUUGGACAUAUUGCAGUGAUUCGAUCAGAAACAUCGUAGUCCGCAUAACUAACGGCACUCGGGCGGAGCAAAUAUCUCUCAGGGUGCAAUUGCACAUUUGCAGCCCCUCAAUUUUUUUUGAAAGCUAUAGAAUGGCCUAUAAAGAAAAUCUAAAUUUUUUUUAAUAGCUUUACUCUAUACACAUUAUCCACCUACUAUAUACGCAAGAAUUUACAUCUUGAAACCUCAUGCAUAAUUUUAAUUAAUAGUAUGUAAUUUCAUACUAUUAGAUAAUUUGAUAACUACUGCAAAUAAUAAAUAACAAGUUGCAGCAAUUUUCCAAAAAAAAAAAAUUGUGUAUUUAGAGCAAAUAUUUAGUUGUACUAAAAAUUUAUAAACCAACACGUUGUAAGUAUAAACUAAUGUUGUUAUCCCUCGAAUAAAGUUCCUGACUCAACCACUGGGUAAAUCAUAGCUAUGGUAAUUUUUUUAUUUUAGUGUGUCAGUAACAUCAUUCGAACACGAUAACAUCAUUCGAACACGAUAAUCAUUUCUGUGCAAUUUGAAAAAUUUUCACGGAUGACUUAAUCUUACUUAAUUUAGUUAAUAUUUUUAAAAUAUUAAAACCACAAAUGUUCGAUAAAGAGCUGCUAGUUAUUUGCUUAGUUUCAUACAUAUAUACACACACACACACAUAAACCUACAAGUGACACAAGUGUGUUUGGACAGGAGAUUAUUUGUCCAAAUAUAUUUGCUUACAUCACCAUUACAAUUUUCAAUAUAUUUUUUUAAUUUUUCAAUUACUUUUUUAUCUCAUAUACAUCAUAUCACAAAAAGUGUUACAGUAACGCGGAUUUGGUACCAUUUUUAGCCGAUAAUGCGGUAGAGAUUUUGUCAACCUAGAUGAGUCAUGGCUGACUGGAUUUUAGAUUUCCACGUCUACUAGUGAAGAUUGAGGAUCGCAGAUGAACUAGCAUCUCUUAGCUUAUCGGCUACCAGAGACCUUGCAAGAGUAGGUGCCUCCACUCACGAGUGGCCGGCCCACGCCCAUUAUGUCCGAGCCCACCACCCACAUUGAAGUAUAAACUCAACCCGCCAGCCGCAAACACUGACGUGUACAUAAACCCACCGGUUCUUUUCUUUUCUUUUCUUUAAAAAAAAAAAAAAAAAGAGAUAAGGCCACCUUGAAAUUUUCCUUUUCUUUUUUUCCAUUGGCACAAUUGUCCCAUUAAUUAAUGUUACUCACGUCAUGAUUUUUUUAUUUUUUUUUUUGUGUUGGUGCAUCAGUAACAUGAUCUCUUCCACAAUGGUUUCUCUGAUUUAUAUCUGAUUCAGCACUACAGGUUUUAAAGCUUGGGCAUUGGAUGGAUGAUGCUUAGCUAAAAAAGCUUUCCACCUUAAAAGCAAAUUAGUAAAACUAUACUAGAAUGAAAAUACACUUCACAUCACUGGCACCAAUUUCAUCAACUAGUAGCCUGUUAUUUCUUUUUUUCCACCAAAAAUAUGUUUGAAUCAGAAAAUUUUCUCACUCAGGAUUUCAGUUGCCCUUCUUGGCUUCUGUGUUCAGGCCAUAUCCAAAUGGGUACAACGGGUCAUAAUGUCUGUCCCCGACGUUCAUGGGCAGUUGAUCAACCGUCUUGAACCAUGUAUGAGGAAGCUUGCCCGUGAAACCAUAGUCACCAAAUAAAACAUCAGCAACCCCUUGGCCCUCAGUUCCUGGAAGCCAAGCAGCUACAAGUGCAUCAAUUCGAUUCACGUAUGGCUGAAUGACGACAGGCCGGCCGGUGAUCAGAACUACAACGCAUCUCACAGACCCACAAACGUUAGUAAUGGUACUAGGGCCUGGUUCAGGAAUCGUCAAGUUUAAGCUGUCCCCGACUGUUUCAGCAUAUGGUGGCUCUCCCACCACAACAACCGCAUAGGAGAACUUGUUGGACUUGACGAAUUCUGCAUCAGGUUUUUCGCUGUACACAACUUCUGUUGUUGGAUCAACUGCAUUUCUUAUACCAGUCAGGAUUGUGGUACCUGUUUACCAGAAAAGAAUAAGUUGGAGUCAGUUACCAGUACGAAUAAAUGCCAUCACUGCUACUGCUAUCAGCUAAAAUGAUAACCAAAGAACCUUUUGUGAUGUUGCCGCUGAGGCCUUGCCACUCAAUUGUCCACCCACCACAUUGGUUACCAAUAUUAUCAGCGUGGGUUCCUGCAACUAGAAUGCGUUUCGCUUUCUUGGGGAGGGGUAGCAAUGGCUUGGCUGCGGAUUCGCCAUUCUUCAACAGCACAAGAGAUUUCCUCACUGCUUCUCUUGCCAGGUCUCUGUGCUCCUGUUAACGUUAAAAAAGUGUUUAAACUUGGGGCCAAGUGAUCUCAACUUCUCUUUCAUCUUUUCUAUUCAAUCCGCUCUUUGUAAAUCGACACCCACUUACCUGCAACCCAACGUAUUUGGUCAUGCUAUAGUCGGCCAAUGGGUGCUCAAAGAUGCCCAUCGUGAACUUCACCCUCAAAAUCCUCUUCACUGCAUCAUCAAUUCGGCUCAUUGGAACAAAAUUGUUCUUAACCAGGAAGGUUAGACCAUCAAUGAAUUCUGUAUAGUUGUAUGGAAUCAUCAUCUGCAAUAUCCGGAAAAUAACACAAGUCCUUCAGCAUUUAGCAGAGUAGAUUAAUAUUAUAAGCUUGUUAAGCAAAUCAGACUGACCAUGUCAAUUCCGGCGUUGACACCAGCGACAAUUGAGUACGUGUAAUUUGCAUGAGGAGGAGAGGUAAUCCUGUCAAUGCCUUGCCAAUCUGAGAUGACAAAUCCCUGAAUAAUAAUUCAGAACUUAAUUAAUCCUGUGCUUGAUUGAAGAUGUCGAAUGAGGAACUGGAAGCAGGAAGGAGUACUUUUUACUUUCGAAACUGAUUAGUUUACCCGAAAUCUGAGUGUGUUCUUAAGAAAACCAGUGAUCAUUUCACGAUUAGCAUGCAUCUUUAUUCCAUUCCAGCUUGAAUAGGAGAUCAUGACAGUCG
rnacentral:lncRNA from 1 species